CACCUCGAUGUCGGCUCGUCGCAUCCUGGGGCUGGAGCAGGUCCCAAGGGUCGGGCUGUUCGCCCGUUAAAGCGGCACGCGAGCUGGGUUUAGAACGUCGUGAGACAGUUCGGUCCCUAUCCGUCGCAGGCGCAGGAGGUUUGAGAGGAGCUGUCCCUAGUACGAGAGGACCGGGAUGGACGCACCGCUGGUGUGCCAGUUGUUCUGCCAAGAGCAUGGCUGGUUAGCUACGUGCGGAAGGGAUAAGCGCUGAAGGCAUCUAAGUGCGAAGCCCACCUCGAGAUGAGACCUCCCACCGGAUCAACCGGGUAAGGCCCCUGGUAGAAGACCAGGUUGAUAGGCCGGAAGUGUAAGCACAGCAAUGUGUUCAGCUGACCGGUACUAAUCGGCCGAGGGCUUGGACUU
rnacentral:rRNA from 1 species